rnacentral:rRNA from 1 species
CAUAUGCUUGUCUGAAAGACUAAGCCAUGCAUGUGCAAGCGAAGCUUGAAAAAGUGGAACCGCGAAUGGCUCAUUAAAUCAGUUACUAUCUAUUAGUUGAUUUGCAAGCUAAAUGAAUAACUGCGGUAACCCUGCAGCUAAUGCAUGCUGAUUGUCCGACACUGUCGGAGACUUUUACAAGACUACACCGGGUGAUUUGCUAAGUACAGACACAUCCCGUGAUGAGUCCUAGUAACUGAAAGAUCCCAGAUAGCUUCGGCUUGGGGACGGAACUUCCGAAUUUCUGACCUAUCAACCUAUGAUGGUAGUGUAACGGACUACCAUGGUUGUGACGGGUAACGGGGAAUCAGGGUUCGAUUCCGGAGAGGGAGCCUUAGAAACGGCUACCACAUCCAAGGAAGGCAGCAGGCACGCAAAUUACCCACUCUCCGCACGAGGAGGUAGUGACUAGAAAUAAUGAUAUGAACCUUUAUGGUUUGUAAUCAGAAUGGAAUGGACUUAAAAGCUCCAUUGAUGAACGAGU